AGCGGGUGCGCGCGAGGCACGGACGUAACCUCGGCCGGGCCCCAGACAAAAGCAAUCCCCUGCCGAGCCUGGCGCCUCGUUGGUUGUCUGAGCCUUGGGCUGGCUCUCGCCGGCGGGCAGGCCUUCUAAGAGCGGACCUCGGGGGAGCGAGGCUGGCUCAGCACUUCGAGUCUCCUCUUGCAGCCCUCGGGUGCGGCCGGCCGCCCCACUGAAGGCGCUGGGGAACCUAGAGGUGGCUUAGAAAGCUGCGUGGGUGGCAGAACGGCGGCUACUAUGAGAGCUCGCCGUAGGCGAAGAGGGAGGUAUCCUGUCCCGCCAAUUCUUAGCCGCUGGCUUCCUCAGUCGACUCUCCUUGAAGGAGGAUUUCCACCUCACCUGUGCUUUAGGAUUCCAUCUCCAGUCAUAGCCUACAAGAGGAUCCUCACAAGCGAAGCUUAGGAGUCUGAGGCAGGGCAGCUGGAGUGGAGAUACCUGGCUUUUCUUCCUCCUGCUGUCCCACGGUUUUGUGGCCUUAAGCUCCCUCGUCACGAGCGCUGCUUUUAGAUGAAAAGCAUCUAUCUCCUUAGCAAACGAGAAUACGUUCCACCUGAAUCACGGUCCGUUGACGCGGUGAUUUUCAUUUCAGUAUUCGUGGAAUUGUGACAUUUCUUCAGAAUUCAUCCUGGAAUCAAAUGUUAUGCCAAAGAAAAAUUUCUGAAAGGGUUUUCAGCAUGAAAACUGCAAGAAUUUCUAUUAACCCUCUGAGACAACAUAAAAAAUAGGUAAGCAUCUGGCUUUCAUUAUGAUAUGAUGGAGUUAAAACUUUA